AUUGAACGCUGGCGGCAUGCUUUACACAUGCAAGUCGAACGGUAACAGGUUAAGCUGACGAGUGGCGAACGGGUGAGUAAUGCAUCGGAACGUGCCCGAUCGUGGGGGAUAACGCAGCGAAAGCUGCGCUAAUACCGCAUACGAUCUGAGGAUGAAAGCGGGGGACCGUAAGGCCUCGCGCGAUCGGAGCGGCCGAUGUCAGAUUAGGUAGUUGGUGGGGUAAAGGCUCACCAAGCCAACGAUCUGUAGCUGGUCUGAGAGGACGACCAGCCACACUGGGACUGAGACACGGCCCAGACUCCUACGGGAGGCAGCAGUGGGGAAUUUUGGACAAUGGGCGAAAGCCUGAUCCAGCAAUGCCGCGUGCAGUAAGAAGGCCUUCGGGUUGUAAACUGCUUUUGUACGGAGCGAAAAGGCUCUCUCUAAUACAGGGGGCUCAUGACGGUACCGUAAGAAUAAGCACCGGCUAACUACGUGCCAGCCGCCGCCGUAAGAC
rnacentral:rRNA from 1 species